rnacentral:rRNA from 1 species
CAGUCGCCGCGGGAAUACGAAGGGUGCAAGCGUUAAUCGGAAUUACUGGGCGUAAAGCGUGCGUAGGCGGUGAGUUAAGUCUGCUGUGAAAUCCCCGGGCUUAACCUGGGAACUGCGCUUGUGACUGCACAGCUAGAGUAUGGCAGAGGGGGGUGGAAUUCCACGUGUAGCAGUGAAAUGCGUAGAGAUGUGGAGGAACACCGAUGGCGAAGGCAGCCCCCUGGGCCAACACUGACGCUCAUGCACGAAAGCGUGGGGAGCAAACAGGAUUAGAUACCCAGUAGUCCCUGUCUCUUAUACA